ACUUGUCCCCCUGCUCCUUUAUCAUUGACAUUUUUAUGACAGUCAUAUUAACUGACAAAGAUUCCGCAUUUUGACUGCUGGUAAUGUCACUUCUCUGGAAAUUGCCAGGUCACAGGCAAGACCAGCUCAGAAGAGCAGAGUCUGAGAUAAGAGGCAUUUGAAAUAUUUAUUCUUUGGCUUACAUGUUCCUUUUAGGAAGAGUUUUUCUCCAUAACAGACAAAUGAGGCUGGUAGAUUUGGCAGAAAGGGAAGGUUUUCUAUGUUCUUUGUUUAAGAGAGUGAAUCAUGAUUCCUUCCUCGUUUCAAACAUGUACAUGAGGCCCGUCAUUGAAUAAACAGCAACAGGAUCUACUCUUUUGAACUUAAUAGUGACUCAGUAGUGUGCAGAGGUAUAAAUCUUAAUGUUUACAUUCUUCCUGUGCAUCUAGUCUCUGGUCUAGGAUGUAAUUUGUUUGACGUAUUGCUGCCAUUAUGCGUCUGAGUCCCUCAGAGGCACGGGGUAGGGGAAGAAGGUUUUCCCCAGUGAGUUCAGUACAGACGUGACCACAGGAGGGUGCGCCUGAGCUGCCGCAGACCAGGCGGAGGGUCCAUGGUAGAGCAUCUGCAUGAGUAGGUCUGGCAGAAGCACAGUCGUCUCCUUAUUGGCUGGUGGACACGUGGGAAACCACUCUGACUGAUGCAGGAAAGAAGGGCGAGCCGGUGCUAGAAGUAGCUGUGCUGGCUGGAGGUGACAAUUCUGAAAGUGAUCAUAAUUGUAAUUGGGAGGAACCAUGAGGACAUCCGAGGGGGCUUUCAUCACGCUCUUGUGGCUGCCGCUGCACUGGCUCAGCAGAGGAGAGAAUGUGGAGCAGAGUCCUUCCACCCUGAGUGUCCAGGAGGGAAACAGCUGUGUUAUCACCUGUAGUUACUCAGACAGUGCCUCAGUCUACUUCCCUUGGUAUAAGCAAGAACUUGGAAAAGGUCCCCAGCUCAUUAUAGACAUUCGUUCAAGUGUGGCCAAAAAAGAAGACCAAAGACUCACUGUUUUACUGAAUAAGACGGCCAAGCAUCUGUCCCUGCACAUCGCAGCCGCCCAGCCUGCAGACUCAGCUGUCUACUUCUGUGCAGCAAGUGCACAUUGCGUCCCAGACACCUGCUGCCUGCACCCAAACCUGUGACUGAGCAACCCCUGUCCUUUGACACAGAACUUCAAGUAGAUAGUUUGUGCUAUUGUUUGUCUGCAGGCGGAAGCUAAUGUGUUAGACAUUAAAGCAUAACUGAAGACAACUGGGAUCGAGAUGACCCAGACAGGGUUAGAACAUUUUGUUGAAUCAUUGCUGCCUAUUGGAUUUUUGAAGGGAGUUAGUAAGGUUUUAUUUUGCAAUUCAGGUUUAAAGCUGAUUUACAUUUGCUGUUCAGACUCCUGUCAUACAAACAACUUCUUGGUAAAUUGUCACAUUCCUGUCAUGCAUUAGCUUUCAACUCUUAUCUUUCCAGUACUGCAGAUGUUGCUUUUGUUCUGUUAUAAAACAUUGUGUGCUAAAUAUAGAAAAUAUGUAAAAAGCCAAGUGUGAAAUUGAUAAUUGUGUACCCAGCUAAUUUAUUAUCAAUGUUUCAUUUACUCUCUUCUUAAAUUCUAAUGUAACUUGGAUUCAGAUUUUUUCCAUUCGAUGUUAUAUCCUAAAUUGAGCAUUCUCCUCUAACACCUGAUUUUUAAUAGCUCCGUGAGAGAUUUUCACAAGUCACAGUAAUAUUUUUAAUUUUUUUCCUCUUCUGUCUUCCUGGCAAUAUGUGGCAGUCCUUUCUGUGUGUUCUGAAUAUUUUCUUCUUGAGAAAAUGUGAGUUAGGAUUUUCGUGUGAGCCCAGUGAUGGUAUGUAUGUUAUGUAUAUUUGAGGAAAAUUAAAAGCAGAAGUGAUUUGUCAAGAAUUUGAAUUGAGAAUUAAGACUCUUUUCAAAACUUUGUUAGUAUUUUUUCACAUCUACAAUCAUAUAAUUUAGAAGGGAAAGUUGUAUCUUUCAAUCAUUAUUACAUAGCACAAACUUUUUUUACAUAGUUGAUCAUCAAUAGAUGUUUAUUAAUGGAAGAAGGAAAAGGUGAAUUCUGCUAUAUAUUUAGAAUUUUUAUUUAAGCUUGUGAGUAAAUUAAAUUUAUAAGUUGACUUGUGAAAAAUAAACUCCUAGAAGUCUGUAUUUGGU